AGUAUUGUUUGGUGAAACUAUUAUUUUGCUUAUAUAUAGAUGAAGGUGUGGGCUGGUCUGCUGUGAAACUUGUUACUGUUUGCCCUGGUGAAAAACAAAACAAAACUGUAAAACACGGGACUUGGCGAUCCUGGAAGUGUCCUUCCCUCCCAGGUUCCUGGGGGUCCUCGAAAGAAAAAUAAAAAAGAGAACCACCCCCACCCCGCCACUGCCUGGGGCUCUUCUCCUCCCAGGGUCAGCAGCUGUCUCUUUGCUCUUAGCUGUCUCCACCCCUCCCCUAGCCUCUCUUCUUCCUGCUUCAGUCACUGAGUCCCCUCCUCCCUUUCUUCCAGGGACAAACGCCCCCCCGCAACUCAGGAAGUGGGGGUGGGGGGAUUUGAAGGGAGCGAAUGUGAUCGGAUGGAGGUGGCAAUGGGCACCCUAUCCUAGAAGGUCAAAUAAAGGACUAGAAAGCAAACACCCAAGCACCGGGAAACAGAACAGAAAGUAAGCGAGCUGUGGACGCGGAUUUGAGGGCAGGACUUUGGGAGCCAGAGCCUGGCGGCGCCGCCGCAGCGGGUCACUCCCAGAGGGCCGGCACCCAGACUUGGCAUCCUUAGCGCUUGGGUGCGCUAUCAACUAGCGAAGGAAAGACAGAAGGAGCCAAGAGUUUUGGAGCCAACUCCUGGAGAGGGAGCGGCUGAACUGAUUCGGAAGUUGGAUCUCUUUGUACACAGGAAUGCGGAGGAAAAAAAAAGCAAAACCCACCCCAUUGCUUCAUUUCCCCUCCAAGUCCGAGCACUUUCUAUUGUGCAAUGAAAAGGCUUUUUUCA